GCGGCGAGGAUGAUGAACUGUAUGAAAUAUGAAACAUUUGAGGCCAUGUAAUAAGGACGAUUCCCAAAUUUUGCAAAUUACAUUUGUGGAAGAAGCAGUCCAGGAACUAUAUUUGCACCAGGUCCUCCAAAAUUCCAUUACUAGAAGCAGUUGUGCUUCGCUUCUAAUUUUCUCCAUGCUGACUAUGAGUGCUAUGAGAAAUGCUGACUUAAAUACAACAACAAGACCAACACUGACUGUAGUCCUUCAUCUGGAAACAAAGUGUCACUGCUCUAUAAGAAAACCGGGAACCAGUGAGAAGAUGUCAAUUGUCGACGUUAGUGACGAUGACUGCGGGACUGUUGGCAAGUAACACAGUUUUUGACCAUAUGUUCCAGCAUUCGAGAAAAUUGGAGAUUAAUGGCUUGUGCUUAAGUUUUCAAUGCCUGCUUUGCUCACUACCUGGUGCAAAACAAAAUAAUAGAUCCUCGGUCAUCUCAGCACUUGGUUUAUGUUAAAGAAAUUUUCAAAAUUUCUUCGUUGACCGAAGCAGAACGAAACUUUUGUUUGCUGCGCGUACGUAAUUUGCUUU